UACGUAGGGGGCUAGCGUUGCUCGGAAUCACUGGGCGUAAAGCGCACGUAGGCGGAUCGCUACGUCAGGGGUGAAAUCCUGGAGCUCAACUCCAGAACUGCCCUUGAUACUGGCGAUCUCGAGUCCGGGAGAGGUGAGUGGAACUGCGAGUGUAGAGGUGAAAUUCGUAGAUAUUCGCAAGAACACCAGUGGCGAAGGCGGCUCACUGGCCCGGUACUGACGCUGAGGUGCGAAAGCGUGGGGAGCAAACAGG
rnacentral:rRNA from 1 species